AUUUUGUUAAACCCUCUAUUCGAGUGGUACAUGUAUGGAGACUUCUUAGCUCUUAUUGGACAAUAAGGACGCAAUGAUGAACCUCAAAUCAGAUCAGACGUCGGUCGGAAGAAAGGAACAGUGGACCCGCAGGGAUCCUGAAUAGACAUGCGGCCAUCUUGUGAAGGUCAAAUACAUGGCCACUGAAUAAAUAAGGAUAUCCUC